CAGCCCAUGGGGCUCCACGGUAGAGCAGAGAUCUGCCUGCAGCCUGGGAAGGAGCCCAUGAUGGAGCAGGAGGAGGUUCCCAGAGGAGGCUCUGACCCUGGGGGAAGCCCACACUGGAUCAGGCUCUUGCCAGGACCCCUGGAGAGACUGGAGACUGGGGACCCAUGCUGGAGCAGACUUUUCCUGAAGGACUGCGCCCUGUGGCAAGAGGACACAUGGAAAAGACACACUGGGGCAGGGGAAGAGAAUGAGGAGGAAGGAGCAGCAGGGACAAGGUGAUGAACUGACCACAGCCUCCAUUCCCAGCCCCCUGCACUGCUUCAAAGGAGGUGGAGAAUUCUGAAGUGAAGUUGAGCCUGGGAAGAAGGCAGGGAUGGGAGGAAGGUGUUUUAAGACUUUGUUUCAUUUUCUCAUUACCCAACUCACGCUUCUAAUUCACAGUAAAUGAAGUUAAUUUCCUCAACUGGAGUCUGUUUUGCCCAUGACAGCAAUUGCUGAGUGAUGAUCUCUCCCUGUCCCCACCUCAUCCCAGGAGCCUUUCAUUGUGUCCUCUCCCCUGCCCAGCUGAGGAGGGCAGGGAUGGAGAGGCUGGGUGGGCACCCAGCAUCCAGCCCAGGUCAUCCCACCACCACAGGAUUGUAUUUUUAGGCCUUGUCUCUCCAGGGAAAUUCAGAGUCUCUCUAGCACGAGCUAUCCUGGUGUAAUGCUUCAUGUUGAAUUUAAGAAUUAAAAUCUUUCUCUUGGAUGCUGAAAAAUAACUUUGUUAUUUCUGGGGAAUUACACCGGUAUAAUUACACUGAUAUAAUUAUGUUUGUAAAUCAGAUGCAAGAUUUCUCAGUGUGGGCACUAGGGAAGGGCUGAAUUUGGUGCUUCUGGAAAUGUAAUUGCAAAUAGCAUUUAUUUUUUUGUGUUAUACCCUCCCCUACAACUAAAAAUAGGAACAUAACUUAAAAGGAGUGAAACCUUGCUAGUUACUUAUUUUCUCUCUCUUAAAAUGAUAGGUGAAGAGACAACCUGGCAUCAAUCUCCAGUUAAAAAUUAUUUUAAAAGCACUUUAAUUUUCAUCCUUGGAGUGCAGAAGCAAAGUGAAGUCCAGUUAAUGUAGUGGCAGUGCAGAAUUCCAGCUUAUAGCCUUCCUGUUAUUUUCCGUAAUUGUCUCCUGAUUUAGCUGCUGACAGCAGUGAGGGGACUGUAAUGGUGCAGUUAUCUCCCAACAGCCAGAAAAAGCAAAGGUUUAUUGAAAAUGUUAUUUAUGAGGAAUCUCCCUUCCUGCAUUGUGACAAAACCCCAAACUAUGGCUCUUCCCUCCCUGUUCUGCAAGAGCUCAUUUUUGGAAUUAAUCUGUGCUGUUCAUGCAGCAGGUAAAAGGCAAAGGCUGUAAAUAGUAGUAUUUCAGUCCUGUGAUAGUUUUCCUUUUGGCAUAAGGAUUAGAAUGGAGAGAAAGGGGUUUUCUCAAUGAAAAGUUUUCCAUGUUACAGGGCUUGGGCAUCCCAGAAGGUCCCUACAGGGUGCACAGAAUUGGGAAUUGUUUGUGAAAUGUCUGGAAUCAAAAGCCACUUUAAUGCCAAGUCUGAUUGUGUUUGUGAGGGGACAAUUUCAGAUGAAAGCUGAUGGAUUUUAUCACUGGGGAUGGACUUUGCAAGGACUGAGAGUCUUGGGCGUUACAGUUUUGGGAUGAGGACGGUUUUCAGGUGGUAAAUGCCAGGAAUGAUCAAUAAUUGUUUAAAUCUGUAGGGUUUGAUGCAGCUCUAAGGCCAUUACUUGUCUAUGCCAUCCUUUUGGUGCCAGUGGAUGUGCUGCAGCUCUGUCCAGCUUUAAAUGGAAUGACAGGAGGCAACUCUGGACAAAGGCAAUUCCUAAAACAAGAGGCCAGUCAUACCGUAGAAUAUGUGUUUUAAAGAACUGCAGCGAGUUUCUGGAGAUGACUGAAAACUUCCCCAUGUCAUGGAGUUGCUGGAUAAACAUUCCUGGCUUGGUGGUGGCUGUGUUGGAGUGAAUUGCUGUGGAGAGCAGCAGCAAUACUGGGUGAGUCUCCUGUCUGCUGCAAAGCCAAACUUGUGCUGGUUUUUUGGGUUUUUUAGAUUUUAUCGUGAGUUUUUGUUCCUGUACUGUGACUCCAGAGUGUCACUAUUGAAGCAGAUGCUUAAAGUAGUGAAUGGGAGAGUGAUGGCUUUGGAGAGACUCAGUGUAGCACACUGACCCUUAGGACAGUCUGCCUGGCAUCUCUCAGAAAAGCCUUACAAUUCUCACAGAGACAGAUUGAUAUGGGGGCUCUCUCCCAGCCUCAGUAAUUCUGCUCUGCUGCAAACUGAAACAUCCCUUUCCUAAACAGCUUUUCAUAUUCUGGACUCGUAGCUGGUUGUUUUUCAAAAUUCAAGUUAUCUACUCCCAUUAUAAAACCUUUGCUUGCAAUUUUAGAGUAGAAAAAGCCAUUUAAUUUUUUUUCUUCAUUUUCUGUUUUUAGAGGAAAUGUGUUUGUAGAAAAUGGACAUUAAAAAGAGGCUGCUGCUUGUAGUGUGUAGUGAGCUGUUAACUGUGAACUUACAGAAAUCAAUCCUAAUUCCCAUGUAAAAACUUUUUAUGCGCAGGGUAUCAAGUCACAACACACAAAAUUUGGGCUAUUUUAACCUCCAAGUUAGGAAACUUAAUGAGUGAUUGGCAGGGAGGUUGUGCUUUUUCCGGGUGCAUGUUCAAAGCUUACUCCUUGCAGACGAUCCCUCAGGUUACCUCAGCUCUUCUGUUCCAUGGAGUAAUAGUUACCUACAUCUCUCAACACUGAGAUUUUGUUCAAGUUUCUUUUCAGAAUGGAAAUGUAAAACUGACAUUGUAAAGGAAGGUGACGUGUUCCAGAACAGCACAGGCAGCUCGGUUGAGAUGAGAUUGUGUAACCCUUCUGCUGGAAGACUCCUUACCCUGACUCCUGUCCUUCAUCUGUGUGUAGAUAAUUCUUACUAAAUAAAGGAUUUAUCUUUGUGAAUAGAAAUGGCUGUGCUGUCACAACGGCUCUUCCAGCUUUGCAGAAAUUCCCAGAGGAAACGGGCACUGGUAUGGAAUGUGAGUCCUACUUCAGCAAUUGUUUGUGGUGCUUGGUCGUGCCAGUGGAGCAGGUAACCAAUCCCAGGGUGUGGGUUGGCAGAAGGUGACUGAAUUCCAGGUGAUCCAUCAGAGAGGAAAGUUCAUGGAUCACACCUGGGUUCUGCCCCCACUCAGCUUUCACAGCCCCUGCAUUUGUGUGUGGAGCUGCAAAACCAGGUGAGGAGCUCGUGCUGGCUGCAUUCCCCUGAUGGGAAUGAACAUGCUUGUGAGAAGCCUGACUGUUUCUUGCUUUAAAACACUGUGUUUUUAUAAAUGUAAACUCUUAACAUGUGAUCAGUCAAAGCAGAGCAGUUUUAAGAAUCUGCUUGAGCCCUUGACAUGACAUUGUAAUCACUGACUGGAUUUCUGCUUGCAGCUGCAGCUCAUUAUCAAAGCAGAAUGCAGGAAAUAUUUUUUUGUUGUUAUUCACUGCACUGCACUGCACUGAUCUGGGCCGCAACAGCCACUGUCCUGCUGUCACUGAGCUCUGUGUGGUUGUGCACCAUGGAUGGAUGGAUGGAUGGAUGGAUGGGAGGGAGGGAGGGAGGGAGAUCCUGGAGCAGCCUGGGGUGUUCCCAGUCUGACUGGAUGAACUUCCAGCUGCUGUUUCUAAGGGUUUAUUUGGUCUGCCUUUAAAUCCUGUAAUAGACUGUGCAGGAGUGCUCCGUAGGUGUUGCUGAUGUUAAUGGAAUGGCCACGUCAUGGAUGGAAGGGCAAAAGAGAUAAAUUGUAGAUAGAUAUAUAAUAACGUAUAGAGCAGAUAGAAUUCAGCUACUUCUUGACUUUAGUGGAUAAAUCUGAUGUCUUUAUAAGAAAAUCCUUAAAUGGUUAGUUCUUGAAAACUAUCUUUUAAAUUCCUCCCAGGUGACUUUUGACCAGCUUCUGCAGAUGUUGGGACUAAACUCAGGGAAUAGCCAUGAGCCUUAUCCAGCCUGGAAAACCAGCAAAGACCUUGAGAGAGGACUUCUCCAGAGGCAGGUCUGCAGGCUGGGGUUGGGAUCUCCCUCAGAUGAGAAGUGUCAGUUGUACUAAGUUGCACAGUGGAUUUAUUAGUUGAAAGAAAAAGAACCAAAAUGCUUUACUGGUGUCUUUGGACAGAAUUUAAAACAGCACCCCCAAAGCUGAAAGAGUCAUGUAACAGCUCCCCCACAUUCAUUUCCAGUUUCUAAUGCCCUUUAUAAAAUUGUCAAGUAAAACAUUUUAAGUUACACCAAUGUAAACUGGUAAAGUCUCAGCCUUGUGCUGGAGAGGGAGAAGGAAACAAGUUCUUCCCCUCAAUUAUGGAGAGGAAUGAAGAGCCUGGAGCAGAAUACAUCAGGUGGUGGGGUGUCUUUGAGUGCCUUGUGCAGUGCUCUGCAAGUGUCAGCUGAAGAUUUUCCCCACAUGCACACACCAACAACUAUUUAGAAAAGUGGAGGUUGAACAGAUGAAAAGUUUCCAUUUUAGACUCGUUAGAGAAAAUGGAACAUGAAGGUCAGUGUGUAUUGGGAGAAAACCAUUCAAGAACAGCAAUGGAGGAAUUACAGAAUGGGCUGUGAGCUUCUAAAACAUGGAAAUACAUGUUCAUGUGUUUUCACACAGAGUUGUAAAAAUCUUUAUUUCUUCAGUGAAUUGAAAAUCUUCCUGGCUUUUGAAGAAAGCAGAUAAAAGAUUCAGCUUAUUUACAAUUAAAACCAGGGAAUGUUCUCUGGGGAAAACAGUGUUUGCAGAAUCUGUAAAAGGUGAUGAGUGAUAUCGCGUGUCGAUGCCGCUACUUGUGAUUGCAGGAACGUAGGAUAUUUGGCAGGAUACAAGGGAGGGGGAAGAGCACAAGGCACAAGUAUUUUAGGCUGGAGUUGUUCCUUCUGCCUUGUGGAAAUUGCUUCACUUCAAAAAGCCCACACAAGGACUGUGCCAGUAACACACACACACAGUGUUUCCGAAGUCUACGGGGUAAAAAUUAAUGACCUGAGGUUGUACAAUACAGAGACUUAUUUUAAAAAAAAGUGAUGUUUUAUUUUACAGUAGUUAAAUGUCAGAGGAAGAGAAAUUCAAUGGUGAUCUUGGGUUAGUGGUGAAGGAAGAUUUUCUCCAUUCAAUCCCUUCACUCCAAUCUGAGUGCUAAUCUGGGCCCUGCAUUACAGCAGCUGCACGCAGGGACCCCUUGGGCUUUGUGUGUGAGCUGAUCUCUCCUCCUUAGACGUGACCUUACUUUGUGCCUCUUCUUCCUCCCUCUCCCCUUAUUGGGGCUGUAAUUUUGUAAUUCUCCCUAAAACGUUUCCUGUCUAUAAACUGGAGGAAGCAUUAGCAGCUUCUCUCUUAGGGCCGGGCUUUAUCCCACAUGUUCUGUGGAGAGGUGCUGCCUCCAAAGGUCACCUCGGUGGGAUGGGACACUGUGAAGGCUCCUGUGCUGUCUUGGGACCUCUGUAGCCACAACUUUGCAGGGAGAGGUUUGUUCAGUGAAAUGCUGCUUGGGGAGCUCUGGGACAGCCUCUGCAUAUUCCAGUUUGGGCUUCAGGUCACCUGAAACAGCAGCGUGCUCUGACAGCCUGCUCCAGGUGGUUCUUGUCUGCUGAGGCUCAGGUGUUACUGGGGUUCUCCAGGUGUCUCAUUUUCAGCAGCAUAUCUGGGUGAGGUAGCUGUGCUUCCAAAAUGCUCAGGGAGCUUUGCAGACAGCAGCCCAUGCACAUGAUUCCCACAGUGUGGAAAGAUCCAUUUGAAUGCCACGUCCACUAAAAAUCAGUGUUUAGCAGAACCCUUCUUAGUGCUGCUGCAGAGAGCAAACCUGGCUGCUGAAGGUGUGUUUGGGUGCUGUACUGCUGCAAUACAUGGAGCAAUUGCAUUCAGUCUUCUGCCUCCUUAUCAGUCCCUGGAAUUUUUGAUGUUAGAAAUCUCCAGCUGACCACAGAAACCUUCUGUCACCAAAUGUAGAACUCCAUGGCUAAAAUGUUACCUCCUAAAGAGCAGCAUGAGCACGAUUUAGCCCAUUAGGUGGGUUUUUUAAUAGUUGCUGUUGCCUAUGUUCCCAGCAAAACUGGUAGUUGGAAUUUCCAGCAGGUAUUGAAUUCUCAAAUCACAAAAUAUGUUGUACCAAAAAGUGGCAGAAAGUUGCUUAAAUAUUCUUAAGACUUUGUGCAACUCAUGUGCUAGGUUUGUACACAAAUUACUUUAAUUCUGCCAGAUUUAGCUGGAUAUUUCCACGAUGCAAUGGCAUCAUGCUGGGAAGAAUUUACUGGCACAACAGCCAUGUGUCCAGCAUGUGCUGCUGGUGUGGGGUGUUUAAAACACUUUGUAUCUUCUCUUAGGAGAUGUGAUUCACAGGUGAGUAAUGCUCUCAACUCCUAAUUCAUACAGGAAAUGCCACACCAUCGAGCCCUGGUAUGCAUAAAUGUACUAAGUAUGUCCAGUGAAAACGGAACAACAGAAGUUGGGCUGCAGCACUGAAAUGACUUCCCGAUGGAAAUGGUCCAAGAAUCAUUGAUAGCAAGUCAAAUGCAAAUAGCACUUGUGAAAACCAAAAGGGAAACACAGAAAACUACUUUUUACUGGAUGAUCAGCUCUGGAAGCUGAAAAAAUGUGAGUUUUGUCAAUUAUUAUAAAUUAUUAUUUGUUUUAUUUUAAUUGAAGGCCCUAAGCUUUCUAACUCUUAUUCAGCCUGCUGGGAAGCAGUCAAGCUCCAGCAAAUAAAUGUCCGUGUGAUUCCAAUAGGUAUCUAGAAAAGCAGAUCCUCCAAAUGGCUGUUUUCAGACUUGAUAUCAGAGUCUCUGUGGAAAUUCCUUCCGUGGGAUAUAAGCUCACAUCUAAUGGCAGUCUCUGAUUUAGGCCAAAGCUGCUUUACUGACACUCGAGCCAUCCUAUGGAGAUCCUGCUCUAGCUAAAAACCACACAGACUUUCACAGCCCAUAAAUCCCACGGAAUACAUCUCUUAAGUACUUUACUCAAAGGAAUGUUAAGCUCUUUUACUAAAUCUGCAAAUUACAGCUAUUUGACAACUCUGAGUUUACAGUCUGACAGCUCACGUCAUCAGUCGGAACGGGAUGAGCGGAGUCAGAGGCAGCAUCGCUUGCUGCUGACUUGCAGGGAUCUGGUAAUAACAAUCCACUGGAAAAUGUUGGAAAGCUGUGACAGCCUGGGAACGGUUUGUGACAUCUGUUAAACACACUUGUUUUUACUCCCACUGACUGCAGCGAGAUGGGAGUGGUAUUUCAUGGAAAAGGAGUGGUUGUGUUCCAAAGCAGGAGCCAACAGUCUCCCUCGAGGACUUGUGCCACCAUCCAGGUGAAUUUCUAUACAAAUUACCACAUCCCAAUACUUGAGCCAGAUUAAAAAGAAGUUUCUCAACAUAUUGUUUCUCCCUGACUGGUAAUGAAGUGAAAGCAGUGGCCUGUGAACUCUGCAGGAGCAGGAGAGAUGGGGGAGGCUGGUGAAGCCCUGGCUGCUGAGUGCUUUGGGGUGCCCAGUGCUGGCAGCGUGGGGAGUGAACACUCACUAAUGGCUUCACGGUUCAGAGCAACUCAGCCCUGACUUAAACUGAAAUGGGCAGUGGCAGGAGAGCUGUAAACUCACAGGUGCACCGGUGUCAUCUGAGCACAGGCAGCCUGCAGGAGGCAGAAGUGUGAGCAGCCAAAGAGAAGAGCUCUGUCUUUCUAAAGACUCCCUGGAUGAGUUGUGCCCUGUGACUGAAUAUAGGGUUCCUUGAAGUGCAACAAAGUUUAUGAUGUUUUGUAGGCACCAUCUACUUGUUUGAAUACACACUUGGCCUGAAGUUCUUCCUGAACCUGCUGUAAGACCUGUGGGAGUGGUGGCAACAGGAACUGAAGGAAACACUGGUUUACCAGGUAACGGCAGCGCAGCCAAUUCAAUUCAGCCAGUGCUGCUCUUUAAAAUAGGUGCAGAAAAGAACGUGGCUGUAGAAAAACUGUUCUUGCUGAAUCACCCAACUGUUGCCAACAUAGUUUUUGAAUCCCAGACCCAGUUUUUGCAUCACAGACUGUACAGCAGAGGUGGGCAGUGGCUGUGAGUGUGGUAAUGAGUACAAAGGGAAGCCCUUGGCAUUGUCUGAGUGCUGAGUUGCUGUUCAGCCAGAGGUUUAUCUGGAACCAAUGACAGUCUGGGAUCAGCCUGGCUGAGGCUGAUUGAAGUGUUUGGUUACCCACUGACUAUCCAUAAACAGAGGAAAUUAAAUAAUUGUUAUUUAAAAAAUCCAAACCCACGUAGAGGAUAAAGCUUAAUGUUUCCAUUCUUUCCAAAGGCUUCUCCAGCAGUCUUUGUUUUUUUUCCAGGGACUCCAUACCUUCCCACCAGCCUUGGGGCUGAUGAGGUAUGAGAACAAUAUAGUCUGUGAAUUCUCCAUCUUGAAGAUCUUUUCCCACCUAAACAAUUCCAUGAUUUUGUAAUCCAUAAACGAGCUAGGACAAAUGAGGGACAAGUUUGAUGCAAGCAGGGUAUAGUUACCUAAACCCUGGUGUUUUCAUCCACUGAAAACUGAGUGUUUUAUGCCUAGGAAGUGCAGAAGUGAAUCUUUUCAAUGUCUGUGACCUUUUCUGUGAGAGUUGCCUCAAGUCCAACGUGAACACCUGCAGCCAAGUCCACUGGUCACACACACCUUGACAGCAUCUUCUUAGUGAGGAGCAGGAACAAUGUAAGGAAAUGCUCACACAACUGAGAAUAGCUGUUUGUCCUAUAAGGAAGAUACCUAAAAAUGUCCAGACUUCAGCCUAGAUGAAUGUCUGUGGAUCUCAAAAUCUUGGGACUGCCAUCACAAAGGACACUAUAAAAAGGUUGGAAAUGGAGAGGCUGCUGCAUGUCCUGUGGAUAAUUGCCUGGCUCCGUGUGCCGUGUGUGGGAAGGUCACUUCACACAGGCAGUGCAAUUACCUCCUGGACAAAUGGAAAAUGAAAUUGCAACUUUGUGUGUGAUUGUCAAGAACACAACCCAAAGUACUGGCUAUGAGCAGAACCUCUGCCCUCUGCAGCGUGGGGAAGCUGGCACUGUUCUCCCUGGAAACAAUGGAUUUGAAAACGUCCCUCUUAAAAUGUGCCCCUUCAAGGUGUCCAGUGAAAGAUGAUGAGCUGCUAAGUGUUUACAGUGGUUUCUGCAGCUCUCAGUCUAACAGAGAAAUCUCAUCACCUGAGACCUCCCAGGGUGCUAGUGGGAAGCUAAAAUUCAGACUGAGUUUAAGCAGAGCCCAAGCUGACAGCAGAUACAGGGCUUAACUACAGGGGAUGUGAUGCAUUGGAGAGGGAUUGAAUGGUCCUAUGCUGUCAGGAUGGACUAAUCACUGAGUUAGUGGGUUUUUGGUUUUUUUUUUUCCUUUUUAUUAUUCUUAUUCAAAUUAAGGGCAAGAAGAAAAAUAAAAAUCAGUAUACCAGCACUGUGUUGCCCGGAGUGGGUGGGUUUCAGAGGACACAGAGGUGCAAGUCCUGUCCUGUUGCAGGUGGAGGCAGAUGAGGUCUUCUGAAAAGCAACAAAAAAAAAAUUCACGGAGAGAUUAUGAAUUACAAAUUUUUUAAAAAGCCUUGGUUGUAAUCACUCAGCAUAUAAAAAACUCCUUUUGUUUUAACUUUACUCUUAAUUCUGGGGAAGGUAGUGAGGGAUGCAGGAAGUACCUUUAAUUUGUAUUUCCUGUCGUGUUUCUUUGUGUUGUUGAAAGCAAACAUUUGGCUUAAGGAAGAUUUGCACAGGUGUAAAGCUUUCCUUGUAUGAAUACUCAAACAAAUGGGGGUCUGUCACUGAACUGCAAUUUAAUAAUUUUUUUAACAGGCUUUGUUGGAUUGGAAAGCAUUUAUUCUGUUAGGCUAUAAAAUAAAAGGAUUUAUCCUUAAAAUAAGUUGAUCAAAAAUCUCUUGUGGAAAUGCUGAAGCUAAGUGGAAGGCUUCCAGAAAAAUCGAGCAUUAUUAUGAUUUUUUGAAAGUGUGUGUAAAAUAAUGCAGUCUUCCAAAAAGAUGCUUGAAGUUGUUUGGAUAGAGUUGGCAUCUGCCAGAGUCGAGUCACACAUAAGAUAACAUGAUUGACCAUUUUUGGCAUGGGAUGGGCUAAAUUGGCUCAUCUGUUGGCUGUCAGUCUCUUCUGAAUUAGAUCCAACGCUUUGUAGGCACGUUUCCAUCUGGUUAAGUUUAGGACUCAAGCUGUUUAUAUAUUAAAAAAAAAAGUAUUUUGUACCAAUAACAAUUUCUAGAAAAAGGUUUUUGCUUAUGUUCCAUUUUGAAACUAUUUGGUUUUCUUUCCUGGUUAAAAUAACCUCCUGAAGAGUGAAAGAAGAUGUGCCCAUGUAUUAUGUUAAGACCCUUGAAACAUGCAAAUAAAAUGGAAAUAAAUUAAAAUUUUUAUAUGUGCAUAUUUAAAUAUAUGUAUAUAUGCAUGCAUAUCAUUCUGUAAUAUGUGACUCCUCUAAAUUGGAAACCAGAUUUUAAGUCUGCUAAUAUUUUAACCAUGUGCAUUAGGAAAGGAGGAUGAAUACAUGCUGUUACACUCACAUUGAGUCUUUCUAAGAUUGGCCUUGCAUUAUUUUUAUUCUGAAUAUUCGCCAUCUGGCACCGGGAGCUGCAGUAUUUAGUGCCACAAAUAAUAAUGAAAAAUAUGGUAAUAGCUUGUGAUACUUUAACGUAAAAAUAUAAGACAGAGGGUAUAAAGCUCUGGGCGUAUGAUCUUACAGCUGCCAAAGCAUGUUGUUCCCUCUGCCCUUGUUUUCCAUAAAUGAGUCUUUGAUUGGAGACAGCAGCAGUAAUGGGAAAGUCAUUGGUUAACGCACAUUAAUGAAACUGUGUUACUGGAGUUAAUGAACUACAGUCCUGAAGAAAAAUGAGCAGGAAAAACGCCACGGUUUGUGCCAUUGUGUUCAGGUAGCUGUGGAUGCAUCCGAGACACACCAGGAAAGUGUCUUUAACUCCAGAUUCACCUGAGACAGAGGGGCCUCUGUCUUUUUCACAUCAGACAAGCCCCAUAGACAUGCCUGAACUUUAAAUGAAAUUGCCUUUUCCUUUUCUCUCCCCCCAUCAAAAUACAAUGAGGAGACUGUUGCAUAUUCAGCAAAGCUGUUGUUCUUGCUGCAGUUAAAUUGCAUAAUUAGAUGGGGCUUAAAGAGAGCUGAACCUCGGUGAUUGUGCAGGCUGAGGCAGAGGUGAAUUGCAGACCAACUCUUGGAAUUUACCCAGGUGAAUUGCAAAUCAGCUCAUGGAAUAUAUCCAGGUGGAUUGCAAACCAGCUCAGGGAACUUACUGAGGUGUUGGUGCUUCAGGAAAAUAGUUCCAGGAUGUUUGGGUUCAAAGGCCAUGGGCAUUUCCUGAACAUUCCUUUCAAGAGAACAGAGGAAUUUACCUUUAUGAUUUCUGUAAGACUGGGUUUAUUUUUGAAGACUGGCCAAGCAGCUCUGGGGAUGGCAAGAGCUCUGUGGCCAUGUUUUGUGGCUGCUCUGUUGGCAUUAAAAUCAACCACUUCAACCAGCUCUGCUCUGUGGGAUCUCUGCUCACCACUGCAGCAUCCUCUGCACUUGAAACAAGAGUGUAAAGCACAAGGUGCCUCUGGGCACAAAGAGUUUCAUGUUUCCUGUAGAAAGGAAAUAAUUUAUAGAACACUACAAGUAACAGCUCCAUCCACACCAAACUGGACUUGGCUCUGCUGGUCUGUGCAGCUGCCCCAGAAGAGCCACAGUGCAAUGGGAAGGAUGGGAAUGUGGAAGAGAAUUUGAGUUUCCAGCUGUUACCAAAGAGUCCUGGCCAGCACUUUGGGCUCUGCCAUCUUCACCCAGCAGUUCCAGGUGCUAGCAGCAACUGGCUUUGAACUCUGGGAUGCCCAGAAACUGCUCCUGCCCCUCUGCAGUUCAUCCUCGCCCGUCAUGGAUUUACUGCCAGUGAGAAGAUCAAACCUCCAGUGAAUCCACAGCAGCUUUUGAGUUCCUCAUGUCCUGAUCCCUUUGCCUUCUCCAGGUUUUGUUCCAGCCUGUGCUCUGGCUCACUGCAAAUACACCAGGCCACGCCUGAGACUUUUUGGUUGUUACUGGUUGCUUCUGCUUUCUUCUUCCCUUUUUUUUCCCUUUCUCUCCUGCUAAUGCAGUCACUUCCCUGAAGUGGCUGAGGUUGUUAUUCCUGCCAAGGGAAGGAGGGCACACAGAGCCUUCUGUGCACAGAGCGCUCGCCUUGGCCCAGGCACAAAUGGGAGCUUUUCUUUCCUCCUGUUCAGAAGGCACCAAUAAUGAGGUGCUUGGCCAUGGAAACUGGAACCGCUUCAGCUUCUGCAAGAAGGACUCACUGUUUGCAGGCUCAGCGUUAUUUCCCACAGCACACGGCUGGUUUUGAAUCACACACCAGGAUCUGGGAAGGAAAGAGGAGGAGAGAGGGGGAGUCCUUCACCAAAACCCCAUUCUGCCUCCUGGAGUGCUUCUCAUUCUGGCAGUGUUCUAUGUUAGACUGGUCUUGUUCAGAAGUUGGUCCUGGAAGUCUGAGAGAGUGGAGAAGAAAUCCUCUCCAGCUCAUCAUGGUAGAGUGGGAUAGGAGGGUGGUGUCUCCUGCUACCCUGCUGCCUUUCCCUCUGGCUUUUUAAGGUUCAUAGUAUCUGGGCAGCUUUCUGCUUGAACCAUGCUUUUCCAGGCUCACCCAAGAAUGUAGGAUCUAAGAUACUCUGAAAAUCUCACUUGUGUUCUACUUGCCAUGGGCAAACCAGAAUGCUGUGGUGAACCUCUGCCUCUGGUAUGGCUUAGCAGAGGGCCAUGUAUCCAGAAAUGAGUUGGGCCACAGAAAAUAAGGGAUUUAACCCUUGCUGGGUGUGUUACAGUGAGGGUCCCCUGAAUCUGGAAAAGAAGGAAUGAUGAAGAGAAGAAGGAAUGAUCAAAACAUGGGCACUUGGAGACCUGGAAACCACCAUGGCACUGGCCUCUUGUCAUAACCCAGGUUCUUUUCUUUUAGACUGACUCCUGCUUCCUAGAGAGACUAGCAGGCAGAGGCUUCUAGCAUAUAUCCAUGUCUGGGCACAUGGAUUGUGUGUGAAGACAGCUGGAAGGCUGGGACAGAUGUAAAUGUCUGAUCUGCUCCGUGGUACAGGUUGCAGGGAAUGAUCACGCUGCUGGCUGCAGCAGUGGAGCUGCAUGGGGGGGUCGGGAGAACAGUGGGCCUGUGGGGCAGGGCUGGGCUGGCAUCACAAUCACCCCUCGCUCAGGGGCUGUCCAUCCCUUCCUGCCAAAAGGAGCUUUCUUAGCACCUUGUUCUCGCACCUGUGAGCCUCUAUUCGACAGCCUGGAAAAUUAAUACCCUGCCAAGGUGGGUGGCUGCGCUUCCAUCACGUCAGAGCAGCUUCCACAGCUGUUUGUGGCAGUACAUGAAAAGAUCACAGUGCACAGACUGUUAAUUUUUCAGAUUGCCUGAGAUGCCGUGCAGAACUUUAUGCUGCCUAUCGAUCAGUAUUGUGGUGGUUCUGUAAUUGAAGGGCCUUAAAUGAAUAGUGUGGAUAAGUGGAACUAAAGGCAUUAUAUUGUUUCACAGCCCCAAGGAAAAUCUUUGAGCCUUAUGUUUGUGUUCCCUGUAUAAUACAGCACUUAAAUAAAUACUUGGGUUGUCUUUCUAAACUGGAUCCAGGUGCAAGGCUCACUUAAUUGAAUGUGUCUUUUCAUCUCCACCAAGGCUCUCCCCAGGUUUACCUCUAAUCUUAUCUUGGUGAUUAUACUCAGGUGAUUGCCAUCACCUCCAGCACACAGCUCCAGUGUGGCACCUUGCCAAAGGCAUCGGCAGCAGCUGGGUGGGUCUGACCAGGUGUUGGUGUCCCUGUGCUUCUGGCCACGUUAUUCCUGCCCUGGGAGCUGCCUCAGCAGAGGAGCUGCCAAAUUUGCUUGUGUGCCUUUGGUGGCACUUUUGAAGGGCACAGCCCUUAUGUGAGGGUGCUGAGGGCAAAACUUGCCCCCAGCUCAUUUUGAAAGCAGUUCAUGACCACCAUCCACCUGUGUGUUUAUUUUAGUGAGCACUGCCAGGUGUGCUGUCACCAUCUCACCUGACCCUGAUUAAUUACUUAUUUAUAUUACUUGAAUUCUUCUGCCAAGAAAAUGAUGGGGCAGUGAAAAAAAAUGCAGCAUUACAAACAUGCAAAGGUACAGGGAGUGAAGUGUGUGAUUCCCACAGCAAUGGGGUGAGGCUGGAGAGGAAAACCAUCACUGAGGAUAGGACUGGGAAUUGCUACUUCCCAGUAACUAUGACACUGCCUCACUCCGUGCCCUUGGUCAAAUCACUUACUGCUGGUCUCUGUUUCUACACCCCUUCAAACGUGUGCCCUGACACAGUGGGAAUGAAUAAUUUAUUCACAUGUGAUGUAUGACAUGUCCUGGUCCUGGGUGCUGCUGUUAAUGAAGAACAAAUGAGAUUAAUUCCUUAUUUUGCAGUGCUGAAGUUUCAUGUGUAAAGUGUUCUGAAUUCAGAGAGUAUUCCAUAUGUUGUCAUAUGUUCCUGUUUUAUUACUGCAUGUAUGGAGGUCUCUGAUGCUGUGGCAACAAGGACUAAAGUGCUUGACACUUUAAUAUUUUAGUCAUGGAAUUAGCUAAUCAAUUUUUAGACUGUAUGUGUUGUUUAAGAUGAAAAGGCAGUAAACUCAAGUGAUAACUGAAGACUAGAAACCUCUUUGAAAUAUCACAGUGAACUUAAAUAAACCUAAAGGCUAAUACUCAA